rnacentral:rRNA from 1 species
UACGUAGGGUCCGAGCGUUGUCCGGAAUUAUUGGGCGUAAAGAGCUCGUAGGCGGUCCGUUAAGUCGGAAGUGAAAUCUCAAGGCUCAACCUUGAAAUCGCUUUCGAUACUGGCGGACUUGAGGCAGGUAGGGGAAGGUGGAAUUCCUGGUGUAGCGGUGAAAUGCGCAGAUAUCAGGAGGAACACCGGUGGCGAAGGCGGUUCUCUGGGCCUUACCUGACGCUGAGGAGCGAAAGCAUGGGGAGCAAACAGG